GGACCUGACUGCUAUCGGAUUGAUACUAAGCCAUGUGAGUCUUUGUAGCAAUACAAGGCAUACGGCUCAGUAACACGUAGUCAAUCUAACCUAUGGACGGGGAUAACCUCGGGAAACUGAGAAUAAUACCCGAUAGAUCAUUAUGCCUGGAAAUGGUUUAUGGUUCAAAUGAUUCGUUCGCCGUAGGAUGGGACUGCGACCUAUCAGUUUGUUGGUGAGGUAAUGGCCCACCAAGACUAUUACAGGUACGGGCUCUGAGAGGAGAAGCCCGGAGAUGGGUACUGAGACACGGACCCAGGCCCUAUGGGGCGCAGCCAGGCGAGAAAACUCUGCAAUGUGCGAAAGCACGACAAGGUUAAUCCGAG
rnacentral:rRNA from 1 species